CACGAAUGACCUAGGUUUUGCCCUAAUCUCUUCACUUCGGCAACACAGCAGCAAAGAGGCGACCCAUCCAUUCCAUUCCAAGGCCUCCGGCGACGGCGACGCAAGGAGAGUUCCGAUCAGCAAGCAACUGGUUUUGUCCCUUCUUGCAUCUCUUCGUCUUCCCUCCGGUGAGAAACUGGUCAGAAUUUUUGGCUGCCCCUGCAUAUCAGCAAGCAACUGUUUUGGUAAGGAGAGAUGGGAGAAAGGAAGGUGUUGAACAAGUACUACCUGUCGGACUUCGAUCCGGCCAAGAUUCCGAGGCGGAGGCAGCCGAAGAACCAGCAGAUGAAGGUGCGGAUGAUGCUUCCCAUAAGCAUUCGCUGCGGCACCUGCAGCAAUUACAUCUACAAAGGUACCAAGUUCAACUCCCGCAAGGAAGAAGUCAUCUGCGAGCGAUUAACCUGAUGAAGUGAUGUCCUGACUGAACAUAUUCUAUGUAAAAGCAUGAGGUGACAUUGGAUGAAAUUUCAACAUUAUGC